rnacentral:misc_RNA from 1 species
GCAAACUUGGUCAUUUAGAGGAAGUAAAAGUCGUAACAAGGUCUCCGUUGGUGAACCAGCGGAGGGAUCAUUACCGAGAUUCAUCUCGCCCAACCCUCGCGAACGUACCCGGUAUGCCUCGGCGGGGUCGAUCACAGACGCCGCCGCGGGACGCUGAACCCUGGUUUAAACCUGAUAUCUGAAGAACUAGCGAAUUAGUUAAAACUUUCAACAACGGAUCUCUUGGUUCUGGCAUCGAUGAAGAACGCAGC